UACGGGGGGGAGCAAGCGUUGUUCGGAUUUACUGGGCGUAAAGGGCGCGUAGGCGGCCAGCACAAGUCAGUUGUGAAAUCUCCGAGCUUAACUCGGAACGGUCAACUGAUACUGUGCGGCUAGAGUGCGGAAGGGGCAACUGGAAUUCUUGGUGUAGCGGUGAAAUGCGUAGAUAUCAAGAGGGAACACCUGCGGCGAAGGCGGGUUGCUGGGCCGACACUGACGCUGAGGCGCGGAAAGCCAGGGGAGCGAACGGG
rnacentral:rRNA from 1 species